rnacentral:rRNA from 1 species
AGUGAACGCUGGCGGUAGGCCUAACACAUGCAAGUCGAACGGCAGCACAGUAAGAGCUUGCUCUUACGGGUGGCGAGUGGCGGACGGGUGAGGAAUACAUCGGAAUCUACUUUUUCGUGGGGGAUAACGUAGGAAAACUUACGCUAAUACCGCAUACGACCUACGGGUGAAAGCAGGGGAUCUUCGGACCUUGCGCGAUUGAAUGAGCCGAUGUCGGGUUGCUAGUUGGCGGGGUAAAGGCCCACCAAGGCGACGACCCGUAGCUGGUCUGAGAGGAUGAUCAGCCACACUGGAACUGAGACACGGUCCAGACUCCUACGGGAGGCAGCAGUGGGGAAUAUUGGACAAUGGGCGCAAGCCUGAUCCAGCCAUACCGCGUGGGUGAAGAAGGCCUUCGGGUUGUAAAGCCCUUUUGUUGGGAAAGAAAAGCAGCAGGUUAAUACCCCGCUGUUCUGACGGUACCCAAAGAAUAAGCACCGGCUAACUUCGUG